GUUUGCUGAGAAUCUUCCCCAGGCUUUGGCCAUAGUCCCAGGUGAGAUUCAGUACCUAGAGCAUCCAGGGGCCUCAGUUCACCAACUGAGGGAAGGUGAAAACCACUCGCUACCACUACC
rfam:Fukomys damarensis contig127515, whole genome shotgun sequence.